AUUGAACGCUGGCGGCAUGCCUUACACAUGCAAGUCGAACGGUAACGGGCCUUCGGGUGCCGACGAGUGGCGAACGGGUGAGUAAUGCAUCGGAACGUACCUUUCAGCGGGGGAUAACGUAGCGAAAGUUACGCUAAUACCGCAUAUUCUGUGAGCAGGAAAGCAGGGGAUCGCAAGACCUUGCGCUGAUUGAGCGGCCGAUGUCAGAUUAGCUAGUUGGUGAGGUAAAGGCUCACCAAGGCGACGAUCUGUAGCGGGUCUGAGAGGAUGAUCCGCCACACUGGAACUGAGACACGGUCCAGACUCCUACGGGAGGCAGCAGUGGGGAAUUUUGGACAAUGGGGGCAACCCUGAUCCAGCCAUGCCGCGUGAGUGAAGAAGGCC
rnacentral:rRNA from 1 species